GAAUUUGGGGAAGCUAAACUGUAGUCUUGUAAGGCUAUUUCUAUGCAAGAAUACCCCAUUGUAUUUUUUGGGGUGAUUACUGUUUAUUUUUGGUGUGGGAGUUUGAAUAUUUGCUGUCUCUUUCUUUGGUGCGAGCAGGCUGUUGUCCCCAGGAUGCUCAGUGUGUUUUCAGGGAGAAGAAGGCAAUGGGUAGGGCCAGCAGUCAGUGCAUGUUUGUUGGACUCUCAAUAGCAGCAAGGACCUGCAGGAAGGUGGCACAGGCCACUCGUAGUUGCCGCACCCUGGGAAGUGGUAAUAAGCUUGAGGCAGAUCUUCAAGGUGACCAGAGAUUUUGCGGUAGCAACAGCAGGGUACAUGUGUUCCCAGGGGAGUGCCAGCAACAGGAGCUUGUGUUUGAUUGCAAUGCCCUUCUCUGAGGUGAUUGGAACCACGGAUGUUGCCUGUUCAGUGACCCAUAUUGGGAGCAGGCCAUGACCAUCUCUAGAGUCAGGUAAUAACUGCAGUCGUUUCCCCCAACAACCUGUAGACUAUGCAUGAAGCAACCCAUCUCACUUAUCUCACAUAUGAGAUGUUGUAAAGGGUGCUCCUAGUUGCAGGAUCCUGGGAAGUGACAGAGAUCAGGCAAGUUGGUAUGCCCCAGAAUGUUUGGCAGUGGUGGGAGCAGGGUGGGUAUGUUCCUAGAGGUGCAAGAGCACCAACAGGUGGUGUUCGGUCACAAUGCCCUCCUCUGUGGUGCCCUUUAGGUGAAUGGGGCUGCAAGUGAUUUUUGUUCAGCUAUCUCCAAUGGCAGUGGUCCACAUCCACCUCUGAUAUCUGGGAUAACUAUGGCAGUUUGCCCCUACCACUUGCAGACCACGCAAGAAGCACCCUAUCCCACUUAGCCCACAGAGAUGGUGCUGUACCGGUUGCUCCUAGCUGUAGGAUCUGGGGAGAGGACAGUGACCAAGUGUCUGGGCAUCACCCAGAGCAUUUGGCAAUGGAAGCUGCAGGGUUGGUGUGUUCCCAGGGGAGUGAGAGCAACAGCGUACAGUGCUUGGUUGCUAUUGUCUCUUUUUCUUUUUGCCAACCCUUGAGGUGACUGGGGUCAGUAUGAAGCCCACUCACAGGUCCCCAGUGGUGGCAAGCCACACCUCACUCUGGCCUCUGAGAUGACUGCCACACUGUCCCUGCCACCUGUAGAUCAUGGAAGAGGCACCACAUCACACUUAGCCCGCUGAUGCCCUAAGCCCACACAAUAGGUGCCUAGUCGCCGGUAGUUGGCACAAGAAGCACCUAAUCUCCCCUAAACAAGCAAGAGGCUUCUCACCACCCAUAGCCUCUGCAGAGCUGCCCCAUCCCCUAAGUGCACAGGCAUGUGCAUGCGGCUCUGGCGCAGGGAGUUUUCUAUGGUGGUGCACCCCUCCUCCUCUCCCCUCCCCAAAAGGGCACCUUGCCUCUCCUGUAGGUCCAGACCUUCUCCUGGGUUCCCUCUACCAUGGUGCACUGCUCCUUAGCUUCUAAUGCCAUCCCCAGUUCUCUCCCAGGGACUGACCUCUGGAGCCUGAGUCUCAGUGUCCAGCCCCCGCCUGAGAAUCUCAGGCUGUGUUGUCCAGGCCAGUGGUUCAGAUGGUCUCUUUGGCUUUCACUCUGCUUUGUUGUUCUCAGUCCAGCUGCUGCACUUUUCUUGGCAACUUUGAGGUACUGCCAACUCAGCCAAUCAUUCAUCAGUUAGGUGGCUUCCCAGGAGGUGGGUUCCUUUUCUUCUUCAUGGUUCCCUCUUGGGAAUGCCGGUCCCAUCCUUAUUCCUUUUCUCUCUUUUUUCUCUUGUUCUACCCAGUUAUGUCAAGAGUUUCUUGCCCUUUUUGGAGGUUUAAGUUCUUCUGCCAUAAUUCAUUUGAUGUUUUGUGGGGGUAGUUUUACAUAUAGAUGUGUUUUUGGAUGUGUUUUUGGGAGAAGGUAUGUGAGACCUCUUACUCCUCUGCCAUCUUGCUCUGCCUCCAAAAUUGUUUAUUUAAUACCUAUAUAACAAUAUCUAGCAUACAUAAUAUUACAUAAAAGACAUUCUGUAUAUCAAUUUCAGAUUUUAUUGUUGGAAAAAGCCUUAAAGGUCACCUAAUCUAACUCUGUAGUAAUUCUUUUUGUUAUUAUUUUUUAACAAUAAGAAAACAGUUGUCUUAAGGAAGACGAGGCUUUAAUAUCUUUUUGCUGUUGUUGUUGUUUUAGGGCUGCACUCACAGCAUAUGGAGGUUCCCAGGCUAGGGGCUGAAUCCAAUCUGUAGCUGCUGGCCUAUGCCAUGGCCACAGCAACGCCAGAUCCUUACCCACUGAACAAGGCAAGGGACAGAACCUGGGUCCUCAUGGAUAAUAGUUGGGUCUGUUACUGCUGAGCCAUGAUGGGAACCUCAAGGCUUUAAUAUCUUAAGAACGAAUUUAGUGCACAUAUAUUUGAUAUCUUAAACAAGCAAAUGAUAUGCAGAGAGAGACACUUAAAUUUAUUGGUUUUCAUUUCCUUAAUUUUAUUUUGCAUCUAUAUUUGCUUUCUACCUCCCCCAAUCAGAUUUGAAUUUUUCCUUGAGAAACAAAUCUAAUAACUCUAUUUUGGGUCCAAAAAGAGACCAUGAUUUCCAUUAGGAAAAAAAUGGGUUAGAGACAAGGAAACAAUUUUCAACACAGUUUCUUCUUUUCUUCUUUAGCUUCUAAAAAAUUGUUCCUUUGUUACGUGCUGUUCUUCUACGGGAUAGUAAUCUUCGGCUACUUACAGAUUUAAAGGUUAGGGUAAAACCAUGCCUUCUCCCAAGAAAAAGGCCAGCAGGUGAUUUUCCUGAAAGCUCAAUGCUGGUGAUUUUGGCUUCCUGUUUUAUAAGAGCACAGUGAACCAUGACAGUUCUACAAGCCCCUUGGGUCUCACAGAGCUUUCCUUUCCGCCCUGGGUUCUCUAAGAGCCACUCUUCUUUACUGUUCCUGUCUGCACUGAGAACCUAUGCUCAGAGAGUUUGGCCUCCUUGUUUUUUUGGGCAGAACUAACAAAAGGAAGACCAUUUUGUAGAUCUUGACAAUUUUUAGACAUCUAGCUGUGGAUACUUGAGCUGUAAAACUGAAUGUGUGUGCUUGCUUUGCACAGCGCAAAUAAAAACUGCUUAUCCAAAUUGUCAUUAAGACACCAAGAUUUUCUAGUAAGCUGUAUUCUUCUUAAAAUAUGGAUAGUUUAUCUUUGAGAGUCAAUGGCUGCUUUUAUUUAGUAAAAAUCAUUUCCUCGUUCCAUUUCUUUCUGUCACAUUAUUCAAGGUAAUAAAUACUAUAUGGCAGAAACUGUUCCUAAGGGAAGCCUGUUUAUACCCAAUUGGGAAAAUGCUGAACUUUAUAUAUUCAAAAGCUCUCUAUCAUCCAAUGUUGUACUGUCUUGGCUGAUUCUUGUGAAUUAUAUGUUUCCUUAUAGCUAAAAAAAGAUGCUAGUCAAAAAUCUAUUUGAGAGCAUAUCACAUUUCACAUACUGGGAAUUUGAACAUUUUGCCAAACUCUGAUAUAUUUUUUAAAUAUCAUACUUAACAAAAUAUAGAUGUACCCAGGCAGGAUGAAAUGUAUGAUUUUACACUUUCUAAAUUCCCUUAGUUGGCAGCUUUUCUGAUCAUUAACCAUUUUUUACUGACCUUUAUGCUUUUACCCUGAGUGUAACUGAACAGUGAACUGAAAAAUCCAUGAUUCCCAUGAAAUAAAUUAAGUGCAUAGAUAGGAGUGAAAAAUUAUGGAUUAUUAAUUCUCCUCCACAUCCCAUAAGAAUUAGUACUUUUGACUAGGAGGUUGUGAAUAACAUUUUCUAAAAAUGAAAGCAAAUGUAAGACUUAAUACCUGAUUGUCAUCAUUAGAUCACCAACCAAUUAAACCAAUUAAAAGAAUAAACAUAUAUUUUUACAGCAAUAUAAAGAUUAAAACUGAAAACAAAGAAAUAUCAUUGAAAGGGACCCUUCUCUCUCCUGAGCUAAUUGCCUGCUAUCGCCCUCAGCCUUGUUUUCCCAAAGUUUUGAAAAUCACAAGGGUGAAAUUAAGCAUGCAAGAGUGACCAAUAACUAUUAGGAGCAAAGCCCAGUGUUGGUGAUUUUCCAACAACUUGCAAAUGUAGAGUGAUCUUAUUUUCAUUUUACAGUUUUACAAUGAGAAUGUGAAACUGUUGUUUGUGGCAGGAAAUACACUUUUAGGAUAUUAUACUUGGAAAGAACCUUAGAGUUGUCUGAUCUAACUUGGUGGUAAUUCUCCAAUUCUAUGCAACCAUAAAAAAUAGGCAGAAUAUUGUAUUCACCAGACUGAUAGAAUAUAUCACAUUGUUCUUAGAUUCAUUUCUUAUUAAAAAAUUAAAGAGUUCCUUUUGUGGCUCAGUGGGUUAAGAACCCAACAAGUAUCCAUGAGGAUGCAGGUUUGAUCCCUGGCCUCACUCAGUGGGUUAACGAUCCUGCACUGGUGUCACUGUGGUAUAGGCCUGUAGCUGCAGCUCUGAUUUAACCCCUAGCCUGGGAACUUCUACAUGCCAUGGGUGAGGCCCUAAAAAAAACCCAAAAUAAAUAAAAAUUUUUAAAAAUACAUUUUAAAUUUUCAACACAAUAGCUCUAAUCCUUCACUUAAGUAAACAAAAUAUUUCUGACAUUCUGGAAAUCAAAAUUGUUCUGUCAAAAAUGAGAUAUUUUGUCCAAAAGAAUGAAUGAGGACAGCUACCAAAGAAAAUAGCUAAAAGCAAAUAAAUAAAUAAAGAAGUUGAAGUCUUUUUAGCUUAAAACAUAUAGUAAAUAUUAAAUAAUUUUACCAAAUGGUACUUAAAUACAUGUAGAUAGAUAGAUGAUUAAUAGAAUGGUAAGGAAAAUAUAGAAAUAGAUUUUAUAGAAUAUAAUAUACCUGAAACAGGAAUAAAAAAAUCAAAAUUAAUUACAAGAAAAUGUUUUCAGUAAUUAAGUGAUAUAGUUACAUUCAAUAAAAAAUAUAAAUGUAACUAUUUCAUAUGCAUAAUUAAAUUACAAAUGGAUUGAUGAAUUUUAAACUAAAUUAUUGUUCCAGUGACUACUGCUGUGUAACAAACCAAACCUAAAUCUAGAAGCAUAAAAAUCCCCAGAAUUCAGGGUCUUAUUGGGAAGAUUUGACACCUGACAGUGGUUCAUCAGAUAAGGGGCUGGAAUCACCUCAAGGGCUCUCAAGUGGGACUCCAGCUGGUGCUUUUUAUUUAUCCCUAUGUGUGACCUCUCCAUAUGUCCUGGGUUUAAUCACAACAUGGCAGCCUCAAGCAGUUGGACUUCUUACAUGGAAGCUUAAGGCUAGAAAUCAAGUAACCCAGCAAAGAACGUACAAUUGCCAUUUGCUUCUAUGACCUAGUCUCAGAAGUCACAUAGUUCCAUUUUUGCCAUUCUCUAUUUUGAAGGAGUCAGAAGCCUACCCAAAUUCAACAGAAAGGGUUAUAGAUUCCACUGUUUGAUGGGAGAGUGGCAAAGUCGUAUUGUAGAGAGCAUAUGAGACAGAAAAUAUUAUUCCUACCAUCUUUGGAAAUUAAAAUCUGUAACAAUAACAACAAUAAAAGAGAAAGUAUAAAUGGAAACAGACACUUGUCAAAACACUUGCUAAAAGUAUUAAGACUAACACUGUGUUUAUGUAUAUUCUAGUUAUCAAUUAACUCUACUUCCAGAA
rnacentral:lncRNA from 1 species